CUUUGUCUCUGGCUCAGGCCGGAGCCUGAGAUCCAUCUCUACUGUCCCGCGUGUUGCCCCUCGGGAGCACUAGGUGACUUUGUCACAUCCUCUGUUGCCCUGAGAUCUGGAGGUACUGGGAAAUGCAUAGCUAAGAUGCCAGGACAUCCUGGAAACCAGGAAAUGUUUGUCUGCAUCUUGUUAUUGGGCCACAAGAACACACAGCCAGACCCAGUUUGGUCCAGGAACAACAUCUGGCAAGCUAGCCAAGAGUCACUGAAAUGGUGCUGCACUCAGUGGCCCGUGAUUGUGGCGAGAUGGUCAUUUGGAGACUCCCAGAAGCUGCUGGAUAAGAUUGUCCUGGGGACUCUCCCAGGGGCUAUUCCAUGUGCAAAAACCACAUGUCCCUCUCACCACUGGGGAAGAAUGGUGAUCAGGCAGGAGUGGAUGCACUCAAAGGGUGAGUAAAACUGGAUCAUAUGCAGGAAGCCUGUUAUUUUCUUAUCUGGGCUUAUUAAGCCGUUUGGUCUGAUACCGUCAGGAAAAUAGUAGGGCUCAUUUUUAUACUCAGUUGCUAUUUGGUUAGGAGUAAACCUGAAGCUGAUUUCAGAUCUGUUUUACCCAAGUACGCUUCCUUUUGUGUUUGUCUGAAACUGUCUCCAUGUUCAUGUCUGUGGUUUUGUCAGACUUAAAAUGGAAAGUGCUGCUUUCCUUCCCUCAGGGAGCCCUCUGGGAAAAAUGCUGUCAGAUUGGAAAUAGUACGAGGUUACCCCCAUGACUAAGAGGAAAAUGGUUUACUAUUGUAAUAUGGUUUGGCUAAUGUAUGCUUUAGGAUCCAAAAAAUGGUGGCCAAUUUUGGGGUCUUUAAGCUAUUAUAUCUUUCAGUUACAGCUGUUUUGUCAAUGUUUGAGGAAAUGGGAGGAAGCGUUUAAAAAUUCCCCUACAUUCAGGCACUUAUGUUGCUACAUAACCAAGAGGUUAAAGGGAGUGAGUUAAUGUUGCAUUACCCAGACAAAGUGUCACCUGACCCUGAGGGAGAGGAAGAAAGAAAAAGAGCUAGAGUCAGCAAUUGCUAUACAUGCCUAAUCCAGUAAAAGCUAGUGUCCCACCACCUAGUCAAGAGAGUGAAGAGUCACCACCCCCAAAGUUCAAAGAGGCUACAGACACAGUCUCUCCCUCCUGAACUGGGCAAGGCACUAAUUUUGGCUGAGGAGCUACCAAGCCUGGGGCAGGACAAUUUCCCUUCUGACAAUAUCCCACGGGAGUUAAUCAGCAAGAGCCUCUGGCUGGAUAUUACUGAGCAUGAAGCCCUUUUCCCACAUCUGAUUUACUGAAUUGGAAAAGUUCCAGUCCUUCCUACAGGGAAGAACCCCAGAAGAUGACUGAACAGUUACCACUAUUUUUGCCACCCAUUGCCCUACCUGGGCUGAUGUGCAAGCCCUCCUAAAUAUUAUGCUUACUGCAGAUGAGAGAAGGCUAGUAUUAGACAAAGGAGAAAAAAAAGCACUUUCAUGAUGAAAGCCCUGAUGAUACCCUAGACCCUGAUGAGCUGAUUCCAUGCAGUGACCCAAAUUUGGACCCAAAUGAGGCCAUUGUAGCUGGAGAUAAUUGUCUGUAGCAUUGUAAAAGGUGUAUUCUAAAGGACAUUAGGUAGGGGUGCUGAGACCUAAAAGUCUGAACAAAGUGCAGGAACUUCAGCAGAAACCUAAUGAGGACCCCUCAGAAUUUAUGGAACAGAUCUGUCAAAUGUAUAGAAAGUAUACAGACUUAGAUCCACAGGACCCCAAAAAUGUCAGAAUGGUAAACAUGACUCUUACAAGGCAAAGUGCCCCCAGACAUCAGAAAGAAGUUCCAAAUGUGGAAGGGGCUAUGGGAAUGAAUGCUUCUCAGUUAAUUGACAUUGCAUUCAAUGUCUACAAUAGCAGGGAAUCCAAGGAAACUAAGGCUCUAUGGCAGGCAGCAAUACUUAGAGCCACUGUGGUAGGAAACCCGAAGAAAAAGGGACCCCUGAGGCAGAAGGAAAAUAUAGGAAAGGAUCAAUGCACUUACUGUCAGGAGACAGGGCAUUGAAAGAAAGACUGCCCCAAGUUGAUUAAGAAGGAGCUUAGGUCACUUAUGGCUGUUAAGCCUGAAAACGAAUCCAAAGAGGACUGAGGGGCCCAAGACUCCUGAUGGCUCCAACCCUGUCUGACGUUAAGAUUUUCCCUCAGGAGCCUUGGGUAAAUUCGACAGUGGGGAAAUGAAAAUUGGACUUCUAAAUCCAUAUGGGUGCUGCUUACUCGUCAAUUAAUAUCCCAAUUACUGAACCUUUUUUGAGACUGAGUUGCUCUAUCGCCCAGGCUGGAGUGCAGUGGCAUGAUCUCAGCUCACUGCAACCUCUGCCUCCUGGGUUCAAGCAAUUCUGCCUCAGCCUCCCAAGUAGGUGGGAAUACAGGCAUGCCUCACCAUGCCCAACUAAUUUUUGUAUUUUUAGUAGAGACAGGGUUUCACCAUGUUGGCCAGUCUGGUCUCGAACUCCUGACCUCAAGUGAUCUGCCCAUCUUGGCCUCCCAAAGUGCUGGGAUUACAGGCGUGAGCCACAACACCCGGCCUUACUGAACUUUUUGACACCUCUGUCAAUAUAGUUGGGGUGAGCGGAAAGCUGAAAUCAGAAUAGUUCUUUCACCCUCUAUCCUGGAAGGUGGGAAAUGGCUUAAUAACUCAUUGGUUUCUUUUUUCCUUUUGUUUUUUGAGACAGGGUCUUGCUCUGUCACCCAGGCUGAAGUGCAGUGGUGCGAUCUUGGCUCACUGCAUCCUCCAUCUCCCAGGUUCAAGCAAUUCUCUGCCUGAGCCUCCCGAGUAGCUGGGAUUACAGGCACCUGCCACCGCGCCCAGCUAAUUUUUUUGUAUUUUUAGUAGAGGCAGGGUUUCACCAUCUUGGCCAGGCUGGUCUUGAACUCCUGACCUCGUGAUCCACCCGCCUCGGCCUCCCAAAGUGCUGGGAUUACUGGUGUGAGCCAAGGUGCCCGGCCUCAUCAGUUUCCAUAUGUGCUGGACUGCUCGAUGUCUCUGCUUGGUAGAGACCUCUUAUGUAAGUUACAGGCAUGAGUUGUCUUUGACCCAGAGAUGCGCCAGAUGUGCCUCCAGGUACCCUCAGAACACAGAUUGUGGCGACAGGCCCUCCUGAUGAAAUCGGAGACUUCACACCUUAAGGUAGAGAUGAUUCCACAGGAAGUCCUCAACAAGGUAAAGCCGAAGUAUCAGCAUCCAACCAACCAAGGCGGACAAUUAAUGUGAAUCCAGUAGAAAUCAAGCUGAAGGAAGGGACCCAACCUGUUCGAAAGGAACAAUACGCCUUAAAGAAAGAGGCCCUAGAAGGCAUCCAGCUGGUACAUUCUGAUUCUUGUGGCAUGUCUUAAUAAGACUUUGUCAGUCUCCAUAGAACAUGCCCAUUCUUCCAGUAAAGAAAUCUCAUCCAUGCAAGUACAAAUUCAUGCAAGAUAUAAGGGUGAUCAGUGAUACUGUAGAAGACACCCACCCCACUGGGGCCAAUCAAUACACUAUUUUUAUCUUCCUGUCCAGAGACCAUGAAUGGUUUAGAGUAUUAGAUUUGAAGGAUGCUUUCUUUUGCAUACCAGCGAAUGCAGAAAGCCAAUUAUUGUUUGAGUGGACAGACCCUGAAACAGCCACACAAUUUCAAUAUUGUUGGACAGUGCUUCCUCAAGGGUUUAAAAAUUCCCCAACUGUAUUUGGGGAAGCACUGGCUCAGAACUUAAGAGACUUACAAUUGGAAAAUGGGGUACUGCUACGGUAUGCGGAUGAUUUGCUAAUCUCCAGCUCCUUGAAGCAAGAAUGUCAGGAUAACACUGUAAAAACUAAACCAUUUGGCAGCCUGUGGGUACAAGGUCUUAAGCAAAAGGGCACAGGGGUACAGAUAUGCAAACAAACUAUGGGAUACCUAAGAUUUCUGUUACAGAGAAACCAGAGCCCUGACGGUGGAGAGGCAAAAUGCAGUUGCCUCUAUCAUGACACCCACAACCAGAAAGCAGCUAAGGGGCUUCCUGGGAAGGGCAGGGUUCUGCAGAAUCUGGAUUUCCAAUUAUGGCUGAAGGUAAAGCUGCUAUAUGAAGUGAUAAAAGGGGCCAACCACAACCCCUUUAAAUGAGAGCUGUAACACCAGAAUGCGUUUAAACAAUUAAAGCUUAAGAUGACAUCUACCCCAUCUCUGAGGCUGCCAAAUCCUCAUAAACCCUUGCAACUUUACGUGCAUGAAAGACUGGGUCUGGCACUCGGGAUCCUAACACAAAAACUAAAAGAAAUAUUGCAACCAGUGGCUUAUUUCUCAAAAGGAUUGAUACAGUGGCAAUGGGCUGGCCCCCUUGUCUCAAAGCAGUAGCUGCCGCCUGCUUGUUGCUCAAGGGAGCUGAGAAGCUGACUUUGGGUCAGCCCAUCGUGAUUUAUGUGCCCCAUCAAGCCUGGUGUUAUUUGAGCAGAAGGGUGGCUACUGGCUGACGGUUGUCAGAUUAGGCUGAUAUCGGGCCAUCCUGCUUGAUAAUCCCGCAGUAAAACUGCAGACCACUGGAGCCUCAAACCCUGCCAUUUUGCUGCCACCUACUGGGGAACAAAGGAACUAGUACACAACUGCCUAGAGGUUAUAAUCAAGUAUUUUCUGGUCUCCCAGAUCUAAAGGAUGCAGCCCUCCCCUAUGUAGACUGGUUGCUGUUCAUGGAUGGAAGCAGCUUAGUCACCAACAAAGGAGAAAUGCUGCCUAUGCUGUAGUAACUCUCUUGGAGGUAAUAGAGGCAAGAACACUCCCGACAGGGACUUCUGCGGAAAAGGCUGAGUUAGUCGCUUUUACCAGAGCCUUGCAACUGUCCCAAGAGGAAUGACACAGAUUUUGCAGGAGACCGCCACCCAUUUCAGCCUGGUGAUCAAGUGCUGCUGAAGGAAUGGAGGGAAGCUGAUCCUGCCCAACAACUACAGGAAAAAUGGAAAGGGCCCUACGAUGUGCUGUUGACUACUGACUUGGCACUGAAGCUGACAGGCAUCAAACCCUGGGUUCAUCAUAUGAAAAGUCUUUCUCUAGGACCUGGAAAUGAUUGCUCGGAAAUGUAAACAGCAAAAAAGUUAGAGCCCUAUCGCACAGCUUGCUCCAAGUUUCAAAAUUACCUUCUGUCCCUCCUGGACUUGGGACCAUUAUUUUUCCUUCAGAUAUGCCAGUCAGCAACCACAGAUGGCCUCCCCAAUUACCAGACUCACUCAGACAUUGCUGCCUUCUCCAGCCUCUUUAAACUUUAAAGGCCAGCAGAGAAUGCUAUGUUUCAGGAUGGUGAUUGGUGGUUUUCACUUUGGACCAUAAGCAUCCGUAUUGUGCUCACCUGCUGCUGUGUAAGACAUGCCUACUUCUGCUUUCACCAUGAUUACAAGUUUCCUGAGACCUCCCCAGCCAUGCAGAACCACUAAGUUUCAAUUGGGAGCCAAGAUGACUGACUAGACACAGCCAGGGGAAACAACUGACAAGACACUGAGACAUUGAAAUUUCCAUCCCAUUCUGAGCCUAUCUUCAGAUGAAAUGCAUUGCAAGUGGGCAGAGGGAGGACACAGAUGCUGGAAACCCUUCAUGGUGUACCAAGUACUAGGAACUUAAGUCCACUUUUUCUGAGCCCUGCAAAACAUCAGAACUUGCUCAGGGAUUGCCAUCAUUGUGAUCUAGACUGCCGGGGUUUUUUGUGAUUUUUUUUUUUUUUUUUUGAGACGGAGUCUUACUCUGUCACCCAGGCUGGAGUGCAGUGGCGUGAUCUCAGCUCACUGCAACCUCCGCCUCCUGGGUUCAAGUAAUUCUCCUGCCUCAACCUCCUGAGUAGCUGGAAUUACAGGCAUGUGCCAGCACGUCCGGCUCACUUUUGUAUUUUUAGUAGAGAUGGGGUUUCACCAUGUUGGUCAGGCUGGUCUCGAACUCCUGAACUCGUGAUCCACCCGCCUUGGCCUCCUAAACUGCUGGGAUUACAGGCUUGAGCCACCGUGCCCCGCCUAGACUGCCUUUUAUAUUUACUUAAAAUUCCAGAGCACUUUAGCCUGAGGGGCUAGCCACAACUCAGGUACCAAGUGCUGGGAUAAAUAAUUUUCUUCUGUCUGGGGCUGAUCAAAGUGCUCCCGCCAUGGGCAAUGGCCAAAUUCUGCCUUGGAUUACUUCCUACUAAAACAGGGCAGCACUGAGUUCCAAUGCAAAGUUCAACAAUCCCUUGCUGUCCUUCCCCUAAGCACACAAAUUCUCUCUUUGUGCCACAUAUUUACUGCUGGGAAAUGAGGGAUAAGUGGUGUAGGAAAUUCUAGACUGUCUUUCCUACCCUCUUCAGUACCUCUAUUUUGUUAAAACUGGGUACUGUAAUUACUCACCUAAUUUUUGGUUGUUGUGAAGGUGCUUUCUUGUGUGAAUAGUUGUUCAAUUUGGUGUUCCUAUAUGGGAUGAUUGCUAGAGGGUUCUAAUCAGCCAUCUUGCUCCACCUCUGUCUCUCUUCCUUUUUACCAUUAUGAAAUGACAAUCUUAGUCUCCUGUGACAGUUGUUUACUUAAUGUGUAUUUUGUCUAAUAUAAUUAAGACUACUUUACCAAAUUGUGGUUAUUAUUUGCAUGGAAUAUGUUUUUCCAUCCUGAUACUUUCGGCCUAUUUAACUCCUUAGAGCUAAUGUGACCCUAUUGUGGAAAGCAUAUUGUAACAUCUUUUUUUUUUUUUUUUUUUUUGAGAUGGAGUCUCGCUCUGUCACCCAGGCUGUAGUGCAGAAAAUAUUUCUUUAUUUGUUUGUUUGUUUAUUUAUUUAUUUAUUUAUUUAUUUAUUAUACUUUAAGUUUUAGGGUACAUGUGCACAUUGUGCAGGUUAGUUACAUAUGUAUACAUGUGCUGUGCUGGUGCGCUGCACCCACUAACUCGUCAUCUAGCAUUAGGUAUAUCUCCCAAUGCUAUCCCUCCCCCCUCCCCCCACCCCACAACAGUCCCCAGAGUGUGAUAUUCCCCUUCCUGUGUCCAUGUGAUCUCAUUGUUCAAUUCCCACCUAUGAGUGAGAAUAUGCGGUGUUUGGUUUUUUGUUCUUGUGAUAGUUUACUGAGAAUGAUGAUUUCCAAUUUCAUCCAUGUCCCUACAAAGGACGUGAACUCAUCAUUUUUUUAUGGCUGCAUAGUAUUCCAUGGUGUAUAUGUGCCACAUUUUCUUAAUCCACUCUAUCAUUGAUGGACAUUUGGGUUGGUUCCAAGUCUUUGCUAUUGUGAAUAAUGCCGCAAUAAACAUAUGUGUGCAUGUGUCUUUAUAGCAGCAUGAUUUAUAGUCAUUUGGGUAUCCUAAAACCAUAAAAACCCUAGAAGAAAACCUAGGCAUUACCAUUCAGGACAUAGGCAUGGGCAAGGACUUCAUGUCUAAAACACCAAAAGCAAUGGCAACAAAAGACAAAAUUGACAAAUGGGAUCUAAUUAAAAUAAAGAGCUUCUGCACAGCAAAAGAAACUACCAUCAGAGUGAACAGGCAACCUACAAAAUGGGAGAAAAUUUUCGCAACCUACUCAUCUGACAAAGGGCUAAUAUCCAGAAUCUACAACGAACUCAAACAAAUUUACAAGAAAAAAACAAACAACCCCAUCAAAAAGUGGGCGAAGGACAUGAACAGACACUUCUCAAAAGAAGACAUUUAUGCAGCCAAAAAACACAUGAAAAAAUGCUCAUCAUCACUGGCCAUCAGAGAAAUGCAAAUCAAAACCACUAUGAGAUACCAUCUCACACCAGUUAGAAUGGCAAUCAUUAAAAAGUCAGGAAACAACAGGUGCUGGAGAGGAUGUGGAGAAACAGGAACACUUUUACACUGUUGGUGGGACUGUAAACUAGUUCAACCAUUGUGGAAGUCAGUGUGGCGAUUCCUCAGGGAUCUAGAACUAGAAAUACCAUUUGACCCAGCCAUCCCAUUACUGGGUGUAACAUCUUGUUUGUUGUGAAUUCCUUUAGCUAUUGUAUUUCUUUUCAUUAAAGAUUUUAGUCCAUUUAUAUGUAACAUAAUCUCUAAUGGAAAAGUUACUAUUACCAUUUGGUUUGUAUUUUCUUUCUGUGUUUCCUGUGGAUAUGUUUUUCUUCAUUUGCUCUGUGUCUUCAUUUUUUUUGGCGAUUUUGUAGUGACAUGCUUUAAUUCCUUUCUCAUAUUUUUGAUAUACUUUCUAUAAGAUUUUUAUGAUCAUCUUAAGAAAUGCAAAGUAUAUAAAACAUUAAAUUUAUAACUAUAUUCUAAUAAAGUUACUUCAAUUAAAUCAUAA